rnacentral:rRNA from 1 species
UACGGAGGGAGCUAGCGUUGUUCGGAAUUACUGGGCGUAAAGCGCACGUAGGCGGCUUUGUAAGUUAGAGGUGAAAGCCUGGGGCUCAACUCCAGAACUGCCUUUAAGACUGCAUCGCUAGAAUUGUGGAGAGGUAAGUGGAAUUCCGAGUGUAGAGGUGAAAUUCGUAGAUAUUCGGAAGAACACCGGUGGCGAAGGCGACUUACUGGACACAUAUUGACGCUGAGGUGCGAAAGCGUGGGGAGCAAACAGG